UGCUGAUAACAAAUGAAGCAUCAGGGUGAUAAGCGUUGUCGCCGGAGGUGGCGAUCACAUGCGGGAAAAGUGAAGGUACUUGAGGACCCCUAAAAAACAAAGAGUGAGGGAAAGGUGUCGAUUGAACAUGGGGAGGGGUUGCUUGUAGGUCGCACGAUUAUGGCGAUGAAGACGACAACGAUGAAGUCGGUGACGACGUUGUCGUCGGUGAAAAUGAAGGGGAAGAUUUUGGAGGGCGCUAGACAUAAAUUGGAAGCGGAGACGAAGCGGAGGGCCGGCGCGUAGCGCAAGCGCCAAAGCGACUAUACCAAAAAGACAGUGCGUGCGGUGCAGAGUCGGCAAACACGAUUACUUGUAUAAAUAUAUUCAAUUGGGGUAGAAAAGAGGGGGAAGGAAAAGGGAGGAGGCGAUUUGGUUGCGUUGGUGUGUUCUUUUCGUGGGAUCUUUCACACGAGAAGGUCAUUAGGAUAAGAUUUAUGAGAUAGGCCUAC
ensembl:ncRNA F31E8.9 ncRNA